AUUACCAUUAAAACCAUCAUACUUGCCAACCUUUGAUAUUUAUCAAGGUUGUAAAGUUAUUAAAGUAGUAUUAUUGAUAUUUAUCAGGUUGAUCACCCAUUACAGAAUGUCUCAGUUCAAACUGCCAGGCUAAAAGAGAGUAGAUAUUGAUUCUAAGAUAAGCUACAAGGAUGUUUCCUGGAAGAUGAGAAACAUUUCAAGAACCGAUAAGCAAACUCGAUACAACAAUCACAUGGCACCAAGCAAACUGCAACCAAGCAUAAGACAAAUUCUGCAUAAUCCAUUAGUCUUUCUGAAAGUGUCCAUUCAACCUUCAGUACAGGACUAAAGAUCACUUUUGCUGUUGAUCUCCACAUAAUGCCUUCAGAUCAUUUACUGUUCUACAUACUCAUAGAAUACAUUAAAAGCCAGCUAAGGUGAAGCAAAAUUGAAAAGGAUAAUUAAAAUGGAGAAAGGGAGUAUUGAGCAGAAUAAAACCAUGAUUGCUAUCAGUCGAUAUCAUCAGCAAUAUAGGCGUACAAGAAUUUGGAAUCUUAUAUGAGUUUACUAGGAUUAUGCUCAUGCGGGACAAUCUCUAGAGAUUAGUUGGAUUUGAAGGCCUGUUAGGGGAAUUCUGGAACCUCAUGAUGAAAAUUAUUUCAAGGAGAUGAAAACAUUCAUCAGAUCAUCCCUUCCAAAUUAGUAGCAUGGCUACUGCCUAGAUGGCGAACAACUUCCAUUGCCAUGGGUCUCACUCAACUGCCAACAGCCAACAGCAAACCUGCAGCAUGAAUGUUAGUCAUACUAUUAGGUACUAACUCAGAUAUGCAGUAAAUGAAAUUAUAAUAGUAGAUGAACUUGCAUUUUAAAAAGAUAGAAACCAUAAAUCAUAUAUAUAGCUCAUCUUAAAGUUUGAAAUGAGCUUCCAUAUCAGAAUUUAAUGGCUGCUAUUCAAAGUUUUGCUUACACUUCUCCAAAUAUUUUCUGCAAGGUUCCAUCAUGGCAGAACUGAGCUAUGGAAUUAGAGAAAGAUAUCAAUGAUAUCAGCAACAGAACAUUCAUUUAUUAUGCCACAUGAAUGGUGAUGAUCCCCACCAUCAUAAAUGACCUUUGGAAGCAGUGAAUGCAUGCCUCCAACUCUGGCCCUGGAAAAUGCAGGGGAUUCAUUAAUGCCACCCUCAAAAUCAAA
rnacentral:misc_RNA from 1 species